AUUGAACGCUGGCGGCAUGCCUUACACAUGCAAGUCGAACGGCAGCACGGGUGCUUGCACCUGGUGGCGAGUGGCGAACGGGUGAGUAAUACAUCGGAACAUGUCCUGUAGUGGGGGAUAGCCCGGCGAAAGCCGGAUUAAUACCGCAUACGAUCUACGGAUGAAAGCGGGGGACCUUCGGGCCUCGCGCUAUAGGGUUGGCCGAUGGCUGAUUAGCUAGUUGGUGGGGUAAAGGCCUACCAAGGCGACGAUCAGUAGCUGGUCUGAGAGGACGACCAGCCACACUGGGAAUGAGACACGGCCCAGACUCCUACGGGAGGCAGCAGUGGGGAAUUUUGGACAAUGGGCGAAAGCCUGAUCCAGCAAUGCCGCGUGUGUGAAGAAGGCCUUCGGGUUGUAAAGCACUUUUGUCCGGAAAGAAAUCCUUGGCCCUAAUACGGUCGGGGGAUGACGGUACCGGAAGAAUAAGCACCGGCUAACUACGUG
rnacentral:rRNA from 1 species